rnacentral:rRNA from 1 species
AUACCGCAUACGCCCUAAGGGGGAAAGGGGGCAGCUUGCUGCUCUCACUAUUGGAUGAGCCUGCGUAAGAUUAGCUUGUUGGUGGGGUAAAGGCCUACCAAGGCAACGAUCUUUAGCUGGUCUGAGAGGACGAUCAGCCACAUUGGGACUGAGACACGGCCCAGACAUCUACGGAUGGCAGCAGUUAAGAAUAUUGGACAAUGGGGGCAACCCUGAUCCAGGUAUACCGCGUGUGUGAAGAAGGCCCUAGGGUUGUAAAGCACUUUAAUCAGAGAAGAAGCAUUUUAAGUUAAUACCUUAUUAUGUUGACGUUACCUGAAGAAUAAGGACCGGCUAACUCCGUGCCAGCAGCCGCGGUAAUACGGAGGGUCCAAGCGUUAAUCGGAAUUACUGGGCGUAAAGCGCGCGUAGGUGGUUUAUUAAGUUGGAUGUGAAAUCCCCGGGCUCAACCUGGGAACUGCAUCCAAAACUGAUUCACUAGAGUACGAUAGAGGGAGGUAGAAUUCACAGUGUAGCGGUGGAAUGCGUAGAUAUUGUGAAGAAUACCAAUGGCGAAGGCAGCCUCCUGGAUCUGUACUGACACUGAGGUGCGAAAGCGUGGGUAGCGAACAGGAUUAGAUACCCUGGUAGUCCACGCCGUAAACGAUGUCAACUAGCUGUUGGAAAACUAUGUUUUUCAGUGGCGCAGCUAACGUAGUAAGUUGACCGCCUGGGGAGUACGGCC